rnacentral:tRNA from 1 species
GGGGACGUAGCUCAGUCUGGUAGAGCGUCGCGUUCGCAACGCGAAGGUCGAGGGUUCGAGCCCCUUCGUCUCCACCA